rnacentral:rRNA from 1 species
CCGGCGACCGGCGCACGGGUGAGUAACACGUAUGCAACCUGGCCGUGACAGAUGGAUAACCGGGAGAAAUCCCGCCUAAUACAGCAUGACGCCGGGAAGGGACAUCCCUUUCCGGCCAAAGGGGGCGACUCCGGUCACGGAUGGGCAUGCGGCGCAUUAGGUAGUUGGUGGGGCAACGGCCCACCAAGCCGACGAUGCGUAGGGGUUCUGAGAGGAAGGUCCCCCACAUUGGAACCGAGACACGGCCCAAACUCCUACGGGAGGCAGCAG